UAGUGAUUUGGGGGCACCUGGAGUAUUCACCAAUGCAGCAUAUGACAGCUUUUCCUAAGAAUUCGCUUGGAACCUGGCCAUGGGAUAAAAGCGCCGGCACAGUGGGAUUUCCUGCACUUCAGCUCAGUUCUGCCUCCCGCCAGCGAGCGUCUGUGCCUCAUAGGUGGGGACGGAAUAAAUCCAUGCUGCCAUUCAUGCCGUGUGCCCAGUGACCAGGACUCCCUGUGCUCUCAGCCUCCUACCAGAUCACAGUGGGAAGAAACCUUAGGCCAUUACCAAGAAACCUCAUCUAAACCUGUCUUAAAAGAUUGUGCAUUUUGGGAAAUGACGCCUUUGCUUCAUCUAGACGCCACCAGUGUCUACUGGACUGGGACUCAGAAGAUCCAGGCUCUGGUCCCUGCUCAGUCGCAAGGCCCCGGGGUGACAUUGGGCCAGUCGCUCACUCUCAGCCUAACCCACCGCACAGGGUUGUUGUUGUGAGAAUAAAAUGAAGUACAGCAGGACUGUGACAGUUGGGCUCCUCACAAGAUGAGAAAGGCAGGAUACAAAUGCAGUGUAAUAAUAAUGAUGACAAUAUCUGACAUUGUAAGACUACUCUAAAAGCAAAAUCCAAACCUACGGUUUUAAAAAGCAACCCUGGGCUUCGCUAUUUCUAUCUAAGCAUACAAGGGUACUAAACUCUGUGGUAGCCAUUCAGGUUAGAAAAUGUUGAUAGAAAGGCUCCAGAAAAUGUGGGGCACAGGCGAAACCGGAAAGGAUGCCAGCUAUUGUAAUCUAUCCUAGCUUCACAUACUUCACUGAUGCCAAGAGGCUGCCCUGAGAUCUGACCAGAAAAGAUAAAACUGUCUAGCUGUCAGUAUCACAACGGCAGGGCUUGGGUGUCGCGGGGGUGGGGGGCUGAACCCCAAAGCUGGGCUGCUUGCAAGGGUUUUGGCUGUAGGAAAAGAGGUCCCCAGAGGCCUGUAGCUGCAAGCUUCUAAGUCCUGAAUGGCUGUCACCAAGCAGUUUUUGCAAACCAGAAAGCAAGUACUGUAUUAGUAAGCCCUUAGGUAGAAAAGAUCCCUUUGAUGAUUCCUGUAUUGUUCAGUCCGCCUUUCAGUGCCAUCCCAUGCCUCUUGCAGCAGCUUCUUGCUUUUCAAUUGUUCUACCAGACUUGGUGGCAGCAGGAAAUGGUUGCCUUGUGGACCUCUGAGUCACGGUGGCUGAGAGCAGCUUGGUCCUGAGACUGAUGCGCUUGCUGAAGUAAGAAAUCCCACAGGGAUACUGCCCAGGGAAGGGCCUCCCCACCCCCGCCCCCAGGGGGAGGCAGCCAUGGGGAGAGGAAAUCCCCCCCACAGCUGGGAAUGAGCAGGAAUGUACACUGCAAGUCUCCGUCCCCAGGUGCACCCUAAAUACGCCAAUGUGCCCGCCCUGAAAGGUCCCCCUUUGAAGGCACACCUUGAACAAGCUGCCUGGCGGUGCGUCUUUUGGCGUUGUGGCCGUCAUGCAUUUGGCCCUCCUGUUUUGCUCUCAUGCGCCACCGGCAAACUGCCUCCAUGAUUCCCACCCACUCCUCCAAAAAGUGUAUGAAACUGAGAGUGUAUAAAAGGCUUGAUCUGGGCAGUCCCUCUGGGGGCUGCCUACACACUGCAUGUAUUUCCUGUUACGUCUGAAUAAAUGGCUAAUGUUCUUUUGAUUGGACACCCCUAGUGGACUCUCUCUGGUUUUCCUUAUCAGAAACAUGGGAAAGAAUUCUAUAUACCCCUUGGGAAAGGGAUGAAUU
rnacentral:lncRNA from 1 species